ACAAGAUUCAUUUUUAAUGGAUUUGAUCGUCGAGUGCAAAUUUGAGCAUUAUUUACAGGAGCUUUCUGUAGAGUUAUUUCUGUUCAAAUAAAACCAGACUCUCAAAAUACAACAUACGCCUGAACCUACUUGACUUUUUUUUCCCUCCCUCUAGUUACCAAGGAAUAUCGUAUCUCAGAUGCAUGGCCUGCUAUCACACUGGUCUUUAAAGAAAAUAAAAAAAUGCAUGGCCAUAGUUCCAGGCAGUUCCUGGUAGCUGGAUUUAGUGGAUUUAUAUGACAGUACAGUACUUCAUCAGUUUUGCCCACAGGGCAAAACUCGCCUCCAUUCAGGCAUCUCUUUACAACUGGCAGCAAUGCAGCAUUAAGGGUUUGUAGCAGGACCUGCUGUUUGCAGUCCUGCCCCUUGUCGUGUUACUCUGGGUGUUGCAUACUCCAUGAUUACUAGAAGACAGACACCUGAGGCAUGCGAUCUGCUUGGAGUGCAUCUAUUUACAUGAAGCUGCUCACGGGAGCUGGUGACUCUUCCAGAUACGGGUUUCGUAGGUUGGCAAAGAGGUAUCAUACCAUCAGAUUUUACCAAUUGAAGAAGAGUAGCUGAAGGUUAUAUUGCAAUGUUAUUGUGAAACAUUUAACUUUCUUAAGCGUAAAGUGUACUAUCCCUUGCAGCUCAAUAGAAACAACGAUGUAUUUCCUUGUAGUAAUAUGUGGAGUCAGAAUGGGUUGUCCAAUCUGGUUUAAUCCCUGAGCAGCUAUGUUAAAAGUUAACUUUUUUAAAAAGCCCAAUAAAAAACUAAAUACUGUAUUAAAACUCUACCACAAUGUUACAGUGAUAAACAUAUUUCUGUACAGAAACAUUAAAGCUACUUAGAAGCUGUUUACAUCCUUUGCCUCUCAGAAAAAAAAAUAUACAUUUCUGGAAACUGUUCAGGUACUUACGCUGGACAUAAAUUACCCCGAGGUUUUUCUUUUUUUUCUGAGACAGUCUCGCACUGUCAGCCAGGCUGGAAUGCAUAAGAUAAGGUAUCUAGGAGCUGUCAGAUCUUAUUUCGCCCACAUAUAACCAUUUCUGACAGAGCCCUAAACACUGAGAGCUUGACUGCGCAGGACCGUGGCUAGCGUUGGAAAUAAAGACUCAGCUGGACUUGACAUCCCCAACUCCGGACAGAUGGGACCCUGGGAUGGGGCUGUUCCCUCAGGCCACAGCUUCCAGAGAGACCCUCCGUGAUCUCUGAAGAGCCUCUUGGGCAGUUUGGCCCCUGGUUAUAACUACGAUUCAUUCAGUAAGAAAUGACAAAACACCCACAGAUGUAUUUGGACCAAAUAAGCACAACAGAAGAGCCAAAGCUCGACGACUUCUAGGACAGAACAUUGUCUGGGGAAAGAUUACUGGCUUCUGAUAAUUAAAUAGCUAAGAGGAACAGUGAGUGCCUUUUCUCUGCUCGGAAUGUCAGAACAGGAAGACUGUGGAGACCUCCAAUUCCCUCUGACAAUGAGGCUUAGAGGGAGGUGCCUAGCAGUUAGAAAGCAGCAAAGCCAGACUGUCCCCAAGUCCCUACGAAGAAGGAAAAAAUAUCAUAGCACAUUAAUAAGACGCAAGAGUAAGUGCUACAGCUCCAGCUCUUUUCGAAUUUGUCCAGCAGGCCUUCUGGUCUUCACUGAACCGCCCCCCGCCCACACACCGAGAAAGAUACAAGAAUGCAAGCCCAGAUGUGGUGUGGUCUCUGGCAUAAGCCAACGUUCUCUGGGUUCUAUGUAC
rnacentral:lncRNA from 1 species